GCAAGACACAGGAAGUUUAUACAGAGCCAAACCAUUUGCUAGAAUUUGUUUUGACCUUUCUGUUUCCUGAAUAAAGUGCCGUUAGAGCAGCAGAAGAAGAAUCAUCAGGAUUCUCUUGCUCAAAGAGAAAGAUACAAAAAUAUCUCUCAGACACGUGGAUUUCCUCCUUUUUCCAUCCUCUUGCCAGGAACUCCAAAAAAGGAUCCCAAGCUGUUUGGAGGCACUAGACUGUCUGUUUGAAUCCCAGAGGUCGAGAAAGAAAUGUGGGUUAUAACCAACUAACCGUAAGAAAAAGAAGAACUCAAAGAGAUAAGAGAGUUGUUAAUUUCAUCCUGAAUAUUUACACUGGACUAGUUUACUUGGAAAGCCUAAACUCCUUCUGAUAGCAACACGAGCUUGCCCGGAGGCUGGAAAGUUUUCCUCUCUGAUCCUUUCUCCUCUCCUCUGAGAGCUGGCAGGAAGGGAGGCUCCUUGAUAGGUAUUUGCCUAAUAGGAAUAGAUCUUGGUUGACAUCUCUCUACGAUCACUAAGUGUAGAAAUCUUCUCAAGGUCAUCACUGCCUUCUGGAGCAAAACCUGUGCUUGCUUUUCCUUCAACAUCACACUUCACAAUUGAGUUCCCUGGGCUUCCUUCAAGUCUUAGAAUAUUCCAAACUGUGACCUCUAGUCCAUGGGUUGGCAAACUACUGCCCCAGGCCAAAUCAAAAUGGAAUGAGUUGCUAUAUGUUGCAUCGUGGGAUCGCAGGUUCAGGCACAGCAGACUUUCAGCAAGUGACUGCUUCAUUACUUCUACAGCCAAGGAGUCCAAAAGAAGAGGAGAAAAGAUCUCACCAAGGUCGGUACCCUGGGG
rnacentral:lncRNA from 1 species